rnacentral:rRNA from 1 species
GAUGAACGCUAGCUACAGGCUUAACACAUGCAAGUCGAGGGGAAACGACAUCGAAAGCUUGCUUUUGAUGGGCGUCGACCGGCGCACGGGUGAGUAACGCGUAUCCAACCUGCCCAUCACUUGGGAAUAACCUUGCGAAAGUAAGACUAAUACCCAAUGACAUCCCACGAAGACAUCUGAAUGGGAUUAAAGAUUUAUCGGUGAUGGAUGGGGAUGCGUCUGAUUAGCUUGUUGGCGGGGUAACGGCCCACCAAGGCAACGAUCAGUAGGGGUUCUGAGAGGAAGCCCCCCCACAUUGGACCUGAGACACGGUCCAGACGCCUACGGGAGGCAGCAGUGAGGAACAUUGGUCAAUGCGGGAGUGCCUGAACCAGCCAAGUAGCGUGCGGGAUGAAGGACCUAGUGGUUGUAAACUGCUUCUAUAAGGGAAUAAAGUGGGUCGCGUGAAACUUUUCGGAUGUACCUCAUGAAGAAGCAGCGGCUAAUUCCGU